AUGGAGAAGGUGGAAGGGCUUCUGCGUAACCUGAAGCUGUCUGACAAGGAGAGAAAGAGCAUCAAGAUUGGUUGGACUGGAUCUGGGAAGGAGGGGGUUGUGGAGCCGCAAGCCCUAGCAAAGCUACUGUCGGAGAAACCAGUGUUCGAGGAGGCGAUGGCGGAGACACUGGGCAGGAUCUGGUGCCCUAUCAGGGGGGAGGAUUGUAAGGAAGUUGGGGAGAAUACUUUUUUGUUCACGUUUGGGCAAGAAUCGGGUAAGAGGAUGGCGGUGGAGGGAGGUCCAUGGGAAUUUGGCAACGAUCUUCUUGUGUUUGAAGAUUUUGAUGCGAGCAAGCGGCUGGAAGAUUAUGCUUUUGAGACCAUCCCAAUCUGGGUUCGUGUGAUGAGACUACCGCUAGGACUGAUGUGUAGAGAUGCAGGUGAAAAAAUUGGUGCGGAGAUUGGUGAGGUCUAG
rnacentral:rRNA from 1 species